UACGGAGGGAGCUAGCGUUGUUCGGAAUUACUGGGCGUAAAGCGCGCGUAGGCGGCUUUGUAAGUUAGAGGUGAAAGCCCGGGGCUCAACCCCGGAAUUGCCUUUAAGACUGCAUCGCUUGAAUCCGGGAGAGGUGAGUGGAAUUCCGAGUGUAGAGGUGAAAUUCGUAGAUAUUGGGAAGAACACCGGUGGCGAAGGCGGCUCUCUGGACCGAUACUGGACGCUGAGGCGCGAAAGCGUGGGGAGCAAACAGG
rnacentral:rRNA from 1 species